rnacentral:rRNA from 1 species
UACGAAGGGGGCUAGCGUUGUUCGGAUUUACUGGGCGUAAAGCGCACGUAGGCGGCUUUAUAAGUCGGGGGUGAAAGCCUGUGGCUCAACCACAGAAUUGCCUUCGAUACUGUAGAGCUUGAGACCGGAAGAGGUAAGUGGAACUGCGAGUGUAGGGGUGAAAUUCGUAGAUAUUCGCAAGAACACCAGUGGCGAAGGCGGCUUACUGGUCCGGUUCUGACGCUGAGGCGCGAAAGCGUGGGGAGCAAACAGG